AGCGAACGCUGGCGGCAGGCCUAACACAUGCAAGUCGAACGGACCCUUCGGGGUUAGUGGCGGACGGGUGAGUAACACGUGGGAACGUGCCUUUAGGUUCGGAAUAGCUCCUGGAAACGGGUGGUAAUGCCGAAUGUGCCCUUCGGGGGAAAGAUUUAUCGCCUUUAGAGCGGCCCGCGUCUGAUUAGCUAGUUGGUGAGGUAACGGCUCACCAAGGCGACGAUCAGUAGCUGGUCUGAGAGGAUGACCAGCCACACUGGGACUGAGACACGGCCCAGACUCCUACGGGAGGCAGCAGUGGGGAAUCUUGCGCAAUGGGCGAAAGCCUGAUCCAGCAAUGCCGCGUGAGUGAUGAAGGCCUUAGGGUUGUAAAGCUCUUUUACCCGGGAUGAUAAUGACAGUACCGGGAGAAUAAGCUCCGGCUAACUCCGUG
rnacentral:rRNA from 1 species